rnacentral:rRNA from 1 species
AGCGAACGCUGGCGGCAGGCCUAACACAUGCAAGUCGAACGAACCUUUCGGGGUUAGUGGCGGACGGGUGAGUAACCCGUGGGAACGUGCCUUUAGGUUCGGAACAACUCAGGGAAACUUGUGCUAAUACCGAAUGUGCCCUUCGGGGGAAAGAUUUAUCGCCUUUAGAGCGGCCCGCGUCGGAUUAGCUAGUUGGUGGAGGUAAUGGCGCACCAAGGCGACGAUCAGUAGCUGGUCUGAGAGGAUGAUCAGCCACAUUGGGACUGAGACACGGCCCAAAAUCCUACGGGAGGCAGCAGUGGGGAAUCUUGCGCAAUGGGCGAAAGCCUGACGCAGCCAUGCCGCGUGAAUGAUGAAGGUCUUAGGAUUGUAAAAUUCUUUCAUCGGGGACGAUAAUGACGGUACCCGGAGAAGAAGCCCCGGCUAACUUCGUG